UGCAAGCGUUGUCCGGAAUUAUUGGGCGUAAAGAGCUCGUACGUCGUUUGUUACGUCGGAUGUGAAAACCUGAGGCUCAACCUCAGGCCUGCAUUCGAUACGGGCAAACUAGAGUUUGGUAGGGGAGACUGGAAUUCCUGGUGUAGCGGUGGAAUGCGCAGAUAUCAGGAGGAACACCAAUGGCGAAGGCAGGUCUCUGGGCCAAUACUGACACUGAGGAGCGAAAGCCUGGGGAGCGAACAGGAUUAGAUACCCUGGUAGUCCAGACCGUAAACGGUGGGCACUAGUUGUGGGAACCUUCCACGGUUUCUGCGACGCAGCUAACGCAUUAAGUGCCCCGCCUGGGGAGUACGAUCGCAAGAUUAAAACUCAAAGGAACUGACGGGGCCCCGCACAAGCAGCGGAGCAUGCGGCUUAAUUCGACGCAACGCGAAGAACCUUACCAAGGCUUGACAUAUAGGGAAAAGUGGCAGAGAUGUCAUGUCCGCAAGGGCUCUAUACAGGUGGUGCAUGGUUGUCGUCAGCUCGUGUCGUGAGAUGUUGGGUUAAGUCCCGCAACGAGCGCAACCCUCGUUCUGUGUUGCCAGCAUUUAGUUGGGGACUCACAGGAGACUGCCGGGGUUAACUCGGAGGAAGGUGGGGAUGACGUCAAAUCAUCAUGCCCCUUAUGUCUUGGGCUGCACGCAUGCUACAAUGGCCGGUACAGAGGGCUGCAAUACCGUAAGGUGGAGCGAAUCCCAAAAAGCCGGUCUCAGUUCGGAUUGAGGUCUGCAACUCGACCUCAUGAAGUUGGAGUUGCUAGUAAUCGUA
rnacentral:rRNA from 1 species